ACCCACAUGCAAAUCACCUGAGGUGCUCCCAGAAAAGACCCGCAUCACAGGCCAAGGCCAGUGUGUUGGGUCUCCAUCCAGAAGACAGAAAUGCAGAUGCUGUGGUCCCUCCUCUGCCUGCUGGCAGCUCCCCUGGGUGUCCUAUCUCAACUUACACUUCGGGAGUCCGGCCCAGGACUGGUGAAGCCUUCACAAUCCCUCUCUCUCACCUGCGUUGUCUCCGGAGGCUCCGUUACCAGCAGUUACUACUGGAACUGGAUCCGCCAGCGCCCUGGGAGAGGGUUGGAGUGGCUCGGGUACUGGACAGGUAGCACCAGCUACAACCCGGCUUUCCAGGGCCGCAUCUCCAUCACUGCUGACACAGCCCAGAACCAGUUCUCCCUGCAGCUGAGCUCCAUGACCACCGAGGACACGGCCGUGUAUUACUGUGCAAGAAGCACAGUGAGGGAAAACGAGAUCUCCCCCAUAACCUCUGCUCGCGAUGCAGACCCAUCAGUUCGUUGGUGUCGGCUCCUGGCCAUGCGCCUCUGCCAGCUCCUGAAUGUCAUCCUCAUUCACCUCCAGUCCCCUGGUCUUCCCCAAGGACACAGCUUCAUCGACAACUGGCGGCUGCUGUUCAUGAGCAAGCCCCUCUACGUCAGGUCCAAGAACGCAACCAGGCUACAGUUUUCUGCAAGCAGAAUUGAGGGUUCUCUUGGUGACCCCAUCCCAGGCUUUAUCGAUGAUCUUCAGGCAGUUCACAAUGUGGAAAUGAUUUUUCCCAAGCUCUCAUAG